rnacentral:rRNA from 1 species
UCAUAACGACUCUCGGCAACGGAUAUCUCGGCUCUCGCAUCGAUGAAGAACGUAGCGAAAUGCGAUACUUGGUGUGAAUUGCAGAAUCCCGUGAACCAUCGAGUCUUUGAACGCAAGUUGCGCCCGAAGCCAUUAGGCCGAGGGCACNUCUGCNUGGGCGUCAC